rnacentral:lncRNA from 1 species
CGAGAAAUCCCGCUCGGGGCGCGGUGCGCGCAGCUGCCCGGGGAUUCCCGGUGGCGCCGGUCGGAGCGCCUCCCUCCAGGGCUGUGCCCGCGGGGCGCGCGUCCCCGGGCAUCCUUUCCUGGUGUUUAAUGCAUUUUGGCUUCAGGACUUGCCGAGGCCGAAGCCGGCUCCGCCCUGGGCCCUGAAGUCGGGCGGUGUCCGCGAUUUACCUCCGCACCUUCGGGGCAGGUGGCCAGAGGCAGCGUUGAAAGCGACUUGCCCAAGGUCACGCAGGUGGCACCGGGGAGGCGACCAGACCCAGGUCUUUCGACGCCGAGGCCAGCUGCCAACCGCAGAGCUUUGGGGCCGUCUUGAGUGGUUUGUGUCUGGCUCUUGCUGAUUGAAUUCCUUUGGUGCAGUUUAGCAUGUUCCUCUGUGUUCUGCAUCUCCUGUAGUGUAAUGUUCAAGCUCAGAAAUGCCUUAUGUGGAUCGUCAGAAUCGCAUUUGUGGUUUUCUAGACAUUGAAGAAAAUGAAAACAGUGGGAAAUUUCUUCGAAGGUACUUCAUACUGGAUACCAGAGAAGAUAGUUUCGUGUGGUACAUGGAUAAUCCACAGAACCUACCUUCUGGAUCAUCACGUGUUGGAGCCAUUAAGCUUACCUACAUUUCAAAGGUUAGCGAUGCUACUAAGCUAAGGCCAAAGGCGGAGUUCUGUUUUGUUAUGAAUGCAGGAAUGAGGAAGUACUUCCUACAAGCCAAUGAUCAGCAGGACCUAGUGGAAUGGGUAAAUGUGUUAAACAAAGCUAUAAAAAUUACAGUACCAAAGCAGUCAGACUCACAGCCUAAUUCUGAUAACCUAAGUCGCCAUGGUGAAUGUGGGAAAAAGCAAGUGUCUUACAGAACUGAUAUUGUUGGUGGCGUACCCAUCAUUAC